UCGUGAUGCCGUGGUUGACGAUCCUCGGGGUCGGCACCGUCGUGGCGUUCUUCGUGCUGGUGCCUCAUAUUAUUCUUGCCGUGCUGGAGCCGUACAUGUUUGCCAUCUUCUACGCGCCAACGCCGCGACCUGGAUUCGAGACGGGCGAGCUGCCGCCGCGGAGCAGUAUCCGUGAACGGCUGCUCCUACACCUGCACUAUAGCCAGUCGAUGCCGCCGCGCUUCAAGGUCGGCAGUGGCUCCCGCUUCCUCCACAUUUGCUGCCUGAAGUAGCUUUACUACCGCUCUCACAGCUCCAUGGAGACGCGCUAGCUGGAGGAGUCGAAGCUGGAGGCGGAGAGGUACCGUGUGCUUCCCAUGAGUGAGGACAAGGAGGCGCGUGUGCUCUUCUCGCAUAUCUCGCCGACACUGAUGUGCGCGGCGCUGACGAGCACAGAGUUGAAUCCCGCUUCUGGCUCGCCGCCACGUGGCUCCGUCGCGGUGGUGCCAGACAAGUGAGGCAGUGCUGCUGAAGCCUCCUCGCCUCUGCGCAUGAGCAAUCUCGUCUUUGGGCGUGACACCGUUUCCUCCACGCCUCCCAGCGCGUGAACGUCACUUCUCUCGCCGCCGCCCUGACGGGAUGGCGCUUCCAUGCGAGCAGCAGCGCCGCCGCCCCACGCACCGAGGAUGUGAAGUGGGGAGCGAAAAGCCACACCAGCAGCACAGGCACAUCCGCCUCUCCGCCGCCGCAGAGGAGCGACGAGCACUGAAAUGACACACGUGAGGCCGGUGUAUCGACCGUCGACACGCUACGGCUGCAGCUGAACUGCGCCGCACGACUGCGGCGACCACCACGGAAAAAAAAACGACAACCUCCAUCGUGGGCGCUACCUCGCAGUCGUCUUCGAGGAAUGCGGUGACUGACGGCGAGGAGGGCGACACCCACUUCCACUCGAACGCCUCUCAAGAUGGCUUCGAUGGGAAUGACGAGAGCGAGGAUGUGGAGGGGGAAGUGUGGUCUUCGAAGAUGUGCACCACAUUGCUCCCCCUACGCCGGAGGUGGAUGCCUCCGCUGGCUCCUAGCAGGCAGCGUUGGCCAACCACCACUACCCCGGCAACUUCGUCGGGUACAUCGGCGGAGGCCGCUACAGAUGGGAUAGCCAACACGGCAAAUGGAUGCGACAUGUCGAGACGGCGCCAUACAUACCCGUGCCCCACGCCGAAUCUCCGGCGACUCCUCUGUUCACCGAGCACAGCGGAGGACGCGCAUCCGUCCCUCUCAAUCUUGUACGCACACCGGCUCGUACGCACAGGCGCGCACAAGCGCUUCUUCGGGCAUCUUUUGCUGCUCGUUAUGCAUUCUUUUCUCUCUCUGCAGCAGCGCGCGUGGACUUUGCGCGUUGGGUGUUGCAGCUCCCGGGGUCUGCGUGCUCACUGUCCCUCCCUCCCUCCCUCUCCCCCUCUCCCUCUCUCGCGCCAUCGCGCUGUAAAAG
rnacentral:misc_RNA from 1 species